ensembl:misc_RNA Y_RNA Y RNA
AGUUGGUCUGAAGGUUGUGGAUUAUUGUUAAACUGAUUAAAAUUGUCUCCCCCACACCCAUACUUGACUGUGUGUUU